rnacentral:rRNA from 1 species
CUAAGGUGACUGCCGGCUAAAAGUCGGAGGAAGGUGGGAGUGACGUCAAAUCAUCAUGCCCCUUAUGACCUGGGCUACACACGUGCUACAAUGGGCGGUACAAAGGGUCCGCGAACCCGCGAGGGGGAGCCAAUCCCAAAAAGCCGCUCUCAGUUCGGAUUGCAGGCUGCAACUCGCCUGCAUGAAGCCGGAAUCGCUAGUAAUCGCGGAUCAGCAUGCCGCGGUGAAUACGUUCCCGGGCCUU